rnacentral:lncRNA from 1 species
AAAAUACAAUAACAAGCAUUCCAGGAAAAUCCCUUUACUGCCUUCAACAAUCAACAAAACCUGUACAACAUUGUAACCUAUAAAAGGCCCUAAAAUGACAAAUUUAUAAAGCAAGAAGACUAACUACAUAGCAAUAAACAAAACAAAAAAACUAAAACAAAUAUGGUCGACAACAGCAGAAGACAACCACUGAAUUACACUGACUUAGGACAGGCACAUACAGAAUGUGACAGGGUUAAAGUUUUAUGCUGGGAACAAACCAUCCACCCAAUCAUGGACAGUGGUGUAAUUGUACAACAUCAGAACUAA